UACGUAGGGUGCGAGCGUUAAUCGGAAUUACUGGGCGUAAAGCGUGCGUAGGCGGUUCGUUAAGUUCGUUGUGAAAGCCCCGGGCUCAACCUGGGAAUGGCAAUGGAAACUGGCGGGCUGGAGUAUGGCAGAGGGGGGUGGAAUUCCGCGUGUAGCAGUGAAAUGCGUAGAUAUCAGUCGGAACACCGGUGGCGAAGGCGGCUUCUUGGGCCGUUUCUGACGCUGAUGCGCGAAAGCCAGGGGAGCGAACGGG
rnacentral:rRNA from 1 species